UGAAAAUAAUUCAGCAAUGGCUCGAGGUAGUAGUGGUGGGUGGGGAAAGGCAGAGAGAAGUGGAUAAAGGCGAGGCUGCCGGCGCCUCGCAAAGACUAUUGCAGAAUCUUCUAAACCAGAGCUUUUGUUUAUAGAAGAAGCAAGAGUGACUAUAAACAUCAGGAGUAGAAGUUCAGUAGAGGUUUUCUAUUGGGAAAGGACAGAGUUCACUUUGCACAAGAAAUAGAAGUACUGAUCUUGGUCACCAGUGUGUUCAAGACGAAGAAUGAAUGCCUCUGGCACAAGAAUCCAAAUCCAUACAGGAGAGGAAUCAAGGUUUCCACUGGAGAGAGCCUUUGUUUACUCAUAACAAAUAAAUUAUGGAAUAUAUUCACUUAUCAAUUCCUAAUUGAACACAUUGUUUCCAUUAUGUGGUGGGGAAGCAUUUCUGGAGAGAAAUCAAGACUCUGUUCAGAGAAAAGAAGGCCCUGAGCUACUAAUUUUUCAGCAACCAAGUUAAUCUGCCUACCUGCCCUGGAAGAAAUUCUGUUCUUGUUCUUUUCCAGAGUAGAGCCACUGUUCUACAUGCUCUGCUUAAGACUGAUGUGCUCUUAAAUAGAAUGAAUUUCAUCUACUGCAGAGGCAAAGUCUAAAAAUAAAUUAGUGGACGGGGGAGAAAGUGUUCAAAGAACAAAUUAUGACUAUCCAUAGAAGAUAAGUA